GUGGGGAAUAUUGGACAAUGGGCGAAAGCCUGAUCCAGCCAUGCCGCGUGUGUGAAGAAGGUCUUCGGAUUGUAAAGCACUUUAAGUUGGGAGGAAGGGCAGUAAGUUAAUACCUUGCUGUUUUGACGUUACCGACAGAAUAAGCACCGGCUAACUUCGUGCCAGCAGCCGCGGUAAUACGAAGGGUGCAAGCGUUAAUCGGAAUUACUGGGCGUAAAGCGCGCGUAGGCGGACAGCUUAGUCAGAGGUGAAAGCCCAGGGCUCAACCUGGGAACUGCAUCCAAAACUGGCGAGCUAGAGUACGGUAGAGGGUGGUGGAAUUUCCUGUGUAGCGGUGAAAUGCGUAGAUAUAGGAAGGAACACCAGUGGCGAAGGCGACCACCUGGACUGAUACUGACACUGAGGUGCGAAAGCGUGGGGAGCAAACAGGAUUAGAAACCCCGGUAGUCC
rnacentral:rRNA from 1 species